rnacentral:misc_RNA from 1 species
GUUUGGUGAUUUAUAUAAAAUUGCCUUAGGAGCCAUUGAAGUAGCUUUGACAGUAAUUAUUAUCCUCCAUGAGUUUAUAUUAAGUGCAACCCUAUGGAUACCCCCAGACAAUAAAGUUCACAUCAUAACAGCCUGGUUACAUAAAGGUGACUAAAAGUUUUCAUUAUAUUACACAGGUUCGAUAAUGUUUAUCGAACCAUAUUAUGGGAAUUCCAAAUAAAAAUGAUAAGUGUAAUGUAAAUUAUGAUCACUUUAAAAUCGUAUGGGAUUUUCCCAAAAUAAAUACCUGAAUUCCCAACCGUUUCAAA